ACAACUCAAAUCACACUUCUUAUUAACUCAUAAACAAUUAUGCACAAAAUUUACAUCACGUCAUACUUUAACUUUUAUCACACAUUUUCACACCUACAAAUAAUACUCAUUUAUAUAUAAUUUCACUUCACAAUACAUAAUUAAUUAUAUAAUUUAAUUAAUUAACUCAUGUUCAUCAUCAAGCAUGUACAAUAAGUCACAUAAUUAUACAUACAUUUCAUAACAUAUAG
rnacentral:lncRNA from 1 species